rnacentral:rRNA from 1 species
GACGAACGCUGGCGGCGUGCUUAACACAUGCAAGUCGAACGGAAAGGCCCUGCUUUUGUGGGGUGCUCGAGUGGCGAGCGGGUGUGUAACACGUGAGUAACCUGCCCUUGACUUUGGGAUAACUUCAGGAAAAUGGGGCUAAUACCGGAUAGGAGCUCCUGCUGCAUGGUGGGGGUUGGAAAGUUUCGGCGGUUGGGGAUGGACUCGCGGCUUAUCAGCUUGUUGGUGGGGUAGUGGCUUACCAAGGCUUUGACGGGUAGCCGGCCUGAGAGGGUGACCGGCCACAUUGGGACUGAGAUACGGCCCAGACUCCUACGGGAGGCAGCAGUGGGGAAUAUUGCACAAUGGGCGGAAGCCUGAUGCAGCAACGCCGCGUGCGGGAUGACGGCCUUCGGGUUGUAAACCGCUUUCGCCUGUGACGAAGCGUGAGUGACGGUAAUUGGUAAAGAAGCACCGGCUAACUACGUG